CAAUAAAUGAAAUUUGAACUGAAAUUUGAAGAUGAUUCCUUUGCCUUUCUCGACGUAACCAAGAGUCCGUUGAAAAAAUAGUCUUGCUUAUUUAAUGGUACUCCUGUGCGAAGGAAAUGCUGACGUCGAUCUCACAGAAGAACUCUGGAAUGUUAAUUGCUUUAGCAAUAAAAACAUUAACACAUUCUACAGUGUAAAAAAAGCAAUAGUGCACUUCGAACUAAACAGUCAUUAAACUGAAGAAGGCAACAGAAGAGGUGUAGGCACCUGGUGUCAUCAUAUUUACCAUACAAUAGAUUAGUGCCACCCGCAGAAGUCGGAAAACUAUCAGUAUAGGUGGCGAUGCAGGGAAGUUGCUGUUAAUCUGCGGUGCGAACUGGAAACAUGAAGUUUAUGGCAGCGCAGAAGCGAACAACAGAGGUAUUACUCCAGCCUUGUUUAUCUGAGUUCGGAUGACUACGAGAGGUAGGAGGGGAUGCUAGACCUUCCCUCAUUACAGACAAUUCGUUAAGGGGGCAAAAUCAGAGUCUAAAGUACGAAGUCGUUUUUAGACCACUGGAUCUUAUUUGAACUGAAUUUAAAUAUUAAAGAUCUAGUGUCCUAUAGAAAUCCUUAAAGAACUGACUGGCGCUUAUCUAUUUGCAAUGUAGGCAAUACUCCAACUUUGCCUUUCCGUGUUCAUUAUGUAGAGUAUCGCUAAAUUCAGACUAUGCUAUAUUCGCACUAAAACAAUAAAUUCACCA